rnacentral:rRNA from 1 species
UACGUAGGGGGCAAGCGUUGUCCGGAUUUAUUGGGCGUAAAGAGCGUGUAGGCGGCCAUGCAGGUCCGUUGUGAAAACUCGAGGCUCAACCUCGAGACGCCGGUGGAAACCGUGUGGCUAGAGUCCGGAAGAGGAGAGUGGAAUUCCUGGUGUAGCGGUGAAAUGCGCAGAUAUCAGGAAGAACACCCGUGGCGAAGGCGGCUCUCUGGGACGUGACUGACGCUGAGACACGAAAGCGUGGGUAGCAAACAGG